rnacentral:rRNA from 1 species
UACGUAGGUCGCAAGCGUUGUCCGGAUUUACUGGGCGUAAAGGGCUCGUAGGCGGCCAACUAAGUCACACGUGAAAUCCCCAGGCUUAACCUGGGAACUGCGUGUGAUACUGGAUGGCUUGAAUUCGGGAGAGGGAUGCAGAAUUCCAGGUGUAGCGGUGAAAUGCGUAGAUAUCUGGAGGAACACCGGUGGCGAAGGCGGCAUCCUGGACCAACACUGACACUGAGGAGCGAAAGCCAGGGGAGCAAACGGG